rnacentral:rRNA from 1 species
AUGAACGCUGGCGGCGUGCCUAAUACAUGCAAGUCGCGCGAACGGACGAGAAGCUUGCUUCUCUGAUGUUAGCGGCGGACGGGUGAGUAACACGUGGAUAACCUACCUAUAAGACUGGGAUAACUUCGGGAAACCGGAGCUAAUACCGGAUAAUAUUUUGAACCGCAUGGUUCAAAAGUGAAAGACGGUCUUGCUGUCACUUAUAGAUGGAUCCGCGCUGCAUUAGCUAGUUGGUAAGGUAACGGCUUACCAAGGCAACGAUGCAUAGCCGACCUGAGAGGGUGAUCGGCCACACUGGAACUGAGACACGGUCCAGACUCCUACGGGAGGCAGCAGUAGGGAAGCUUCCGCAAUGGGCGAAAGCCUGACGGAGCAACGCCGCGUGAGUGAUGAAGGUCUUCGGAUCGUAAAACUCUGUUAUUAGGGAAGAACAUAUGUGUAAGUAACUGUGCACAUCUUGACGGUACCUAAUCAGAAAGCCACGGCUAACUACGUG